rnacentral:rRNA from 1 species
CCUACGGGGGGCAGCAGUGGGGAAUAUUGGACAAUGGGGGGAACCCUGAUCCAGCCAUGCCGCGUGUGUGAAGAAGGCCCUCGGGUUGUAAAGCACUUUCAGUGAGGAAGAACGCCUGGUGGUUAAUACCCAUCAGGAAAGACAUCACUCACAGAAGAAGCACCGGCUAACUCCGUGCCAGCAGCCGCGGUAAUACGGAGGGUGCGAGCGUUAGUCGGAAUUACUGGGCGUAAAGCGCGCGUAGGUGGCUUGAUAAGCCGGUUGUGAAAGCCCCGGGCUCAACCUGGGAACGGCAUCCGGAACUGUCAAGCUAGAGUGCAGGAGAGGAAGGUAGAAUUCCCGGUGUAGCGGUGAAAUGCGUAGAGAUCGGGAGGAAUACCAGUGGCGAAGGCGGCCUUCUGGACUGAAACUGACACUGAGGUGCGAAAGCGUGGGUAGCAAACAGGAUUAGAUACCCGGGUAGUC